rnacentral:sRNA from 1 species
AUUUUGUUUUGGACACCGAGCCGGAGCUGGCGGCCGCUGCAGACGAAAGGCAGGAAAGGGCAGGCCGGGUGAGCAGACGGAUCGGCCGACUAGACAGCCAACCAGCAACAACGAACUGAACUCGCAUACUACCGCUUACGCAUCUAACCAACCGCCCAUCUAGCUAACCCGAGCCCCUCCACCGUCAACUCAGGUUCGGCCGGUCCCCGGCCCGCCUGCCGGAGCCGUGGUGGCAGCCGCGGGAGGAACACUGGCGUCUGUUUCCUUCGAUUCUCGGGAUUUGAAGAUGGCUGCACAGUCAGCGCCGAAAGUUGUGCUAAAAAGCACCACCAAGAUGUCUCUAAAUGAGCGGUGAGGCAGCCAACAGCAACUUCAACUCCUUCCUAAGAAAACAUUACUUAACUUGGCCCUGGGGUCCAAUGCACAAAGCCAAUUUUAAGCUAAAUACCAACAGAAGGCUACAGACCUCUGUUCUUAGUUGCAUCUCAUGUGGUACACAAAACAAAUUGGGCGGUUGUUUGAAAACCCCUUAUCAGUAGACUUUCAUGUUAAGCUGUCUGAAGUAUUUAUUUGGUGGGAUGUAUUUUAAAAGACUCCUAACACUUUCCCUUUUCACAUUUUUUUACAUUGAUACAGGGGUCGUGCAGCACGGUAGCAUGGUACCCUGGCUACAGUAGGCUUGCUGCCCAGUCCAAGGCCAGCAGUGUUGUGUCUGGCCUGUAAGAGGCAGGUAGCAAGCCAUGAAUAUGUCCAAAGGCCCUUGAAUGUCAUUCUUGGGCCUUGUAAGAGGCACUCGCUUUGCUCCAUUUCACUUUCCAUUCUGCUUUUAGUUUGGUUUUGUUUUGGAUUCUUUUACAGUUAAGUGUUCUUCUCUUCCAUUCCAUUAUACUUCCUUGACAGAAAUAAUGAGUCUCUUCACAGGCUCAUAAAUGAUCAAACUAAUCUAACUUUGAAAAGUAACUACUUGGAGUUAGAAAAAGUGAUGAUUUGAGACUAAGAAAAGUAAAGAUAUUUAAAGGCAGUUUCUAUCUCUGACAACUUUGUUCAUUAAGAGUGCCUUUGGUUGGGCACGGUGGCUCAUGCCUGUAAUCCCAGCACUUUGGGAGGCCGAGGCGGGCGGAUUACAAGGUCAGGGGUUCGAGACCAGCCUGACCAACAUGGUGAAACCCCGUCUCUACUAAAAAUGGAAAAAUUAGCUGGGUGUAGUGGCGUGUGCCUGUAAUCCCAGCUACUCAGGAGGCUGAGAUAGGAGAAUCACUUGAACCCAUGAGGCGGAGGUUGCAUUGAGCCAAGAUCCCGCCACUGCACUCCAGCCAGGGCAACAGAGGACAGAGUGAGGCUCUGUUUCAAAAAAAAGAAUGCCUUUGAUCAGUGAUUUCAUUAAGUUGACUUUUGACCACUGAAAUUUACUUAAUGCCUAUUUUUGCCUCUUCUGAGGCUUAUGUGCUUCUCUCCUUAUCUCUUUGGCUAUGAUAAGCUAAUUAUUUAUGUUUGCAUAAUGUUUGUGUUUGCAUGUUAGUGACAUAUAUUUUAAAAUGUGAUACAGUCCUGUAAUUUACAAGAGUAUGUUAAUUGCUGUGAGCUUUGAAGGUGCUCUCAUCCUUCCUCAUAUUUGGCCUUAGAAUGCACCUCGGAUCCCCCAAGGUUUAGGCUUUCUUUGUUUGUCUUUGAAACUAUAUCUUCUGUCUCUUGUCAUAUCUGCUUAUUGCGUGUUUUUCAUACCUUCCACCUCUCUAAAAGCCGUUACCUGAGCCCUUGUUAUCACUUUUGGUUGAAUGUGCUGCACUUAGCUGCAUUUCUAAGUUUCUGAUUCUUGCAAGUUUGUGGAAACAGAGGAGUCUUUAACCCACAUCAACCUUGAUCUAAGCGUACCACUUUACUUAAAAGUUCGUGGGAUCUGGAGCUCCUGGUCUAGCAAGCCAUGAAAAUGCCAAUAAAUGUUUGUAAUAAAGCUUUUAUUUAAACAUCCAUUUUGUUCGACCUUGAAGCUUUACUAAUAUGCUGAAGAACAAACAGCCGACGCCAGUGAAUAUUCGGGCUUCGAUGCAGCAACAACAGCAGCUAGCCAGUGCCAGAAACAGAAGACUGGCCCAGCAGAUGGAGAAUAGACCCUCUGUCCAGGCAGCAUUAAAACUUAAGCAGGUCGGGGUAUGAUAGGUCGGGGAAGAGGGGGCUUUGGAGGCCGAGGCCGAGGCCGUGGACGAGGGAGAGGUGCCCUUGCUCGCCCUGUAUUGACCAAGGAGCAGCUGGACAACCAAUUGGAUGCAUAUAUGUCGAAAACAAAAGGACACCUGGAUGCUGAGUUGGAUGCCUACAUGGCGCAGACAGAUCCCGAAACCAAUGAUUGAAGCCUGCCCACCCUCCCAUGAGAGACUCUUGUUAGUCAGCACAUCUGUAAAUAACCUUGAGAUAACAGAUGAGAAGAAAUCUGAUUGAUGCUGGAUGGACCUAUCACAAUAGGCUGUGGACUUACUUGCCACCAGCUUGUGCAUUUAGUGUGUUCCUUUUACUUUUUGAUACUGUGUUGUAUGAAACCCUUUUGUCCUUUG